CAAUAGCGUAUAUUAAAGUUGUUGCGGUUAAAAAGCUCGUAGUUGGAUUUCUGCUGAGAACGACCGGUCCGCCCUCUGGGUGUGUAUCUGGCUCUUUCUUGGCAUCUUCUUGGUGAACGUUGCUGCACUUGACUGUGUGGAGCGCUACCCAGGACUUUUACUUUGAGGAAAUUAGAGUGUUUCAAGCAGGCAUACGCCUUGAAUACAUUAGCAUGGAAUAAUAAGAUAGGACCUCGGUUCUAUUUUGUUGGUUUCUAGAGCUGAGGUAAUGAUUAAUAGGGAUAGUUGGGGGCAUUCGUAUUUAACUGUCAGAGGUGAAAUUCUUGGAUUUGUUAAAGACUGACUACUGCGAAAGCAUUUGCCAAGGAUGUUUUCAUUGA
rnacentral:rRNA from 1 species